GCUCCCAUGGUGAAACUGGCAAACACAGCAGACUUAAAAUCUGCCGCCUCACGGCUUCCCAGUUCGAGUCUGGGUGGGAGCACCA
rnacentral:tRNA from 1 species